AUGGAAAGAAAUGUCCAGGGAUGGAUUCUUUUUCAGCCUACUGUAGUUCUCAUGGAUCCAGGCUUGGGUCUUCCACUGUCAGCUGAACCUCUGAAUCCCACCUACUUCCAUCCUAUUUGGUGUGGUACCCUAUACCUUCUAUGUUCUGCAGGUCAUCUUCCAGCAGCUUCCCUUCUGCGUGGUACCACAGGACAAGGACAGAGCUUUGCCUUGGAUGACGUGAGGAGUGAACACUUCUCAUCUGAAGACAGCAAAAUCAUUCCUCCUCUUCUUGCUGCCUCCCAAAGACUUAAUGCCGGUUGCUCAGAAAGACAGUGUGGUUCAGGUCCUCCUCGAGCAGAGACUAAUGGGCAGCACAAUGUUCAUAGCCUCUCCUGUCGACAGAUAGUGGAGAGUUUGGUGGAGCAUGGUUUUGCUGUCAAAGGUGAACGCUGCUAUCUGCCAACUUUAUAAAUUCACUUACACGCUGUCGUACACACCCGCUCACUGCAUCUGCAGUGAGGCUAGACUCAUGGUUGCUGCUUGCUGACAAGGUUGUUGUAGAUGAAAAGGAGAGGAGAAGUACAAUAGACAUAUUUGGUCUAGUUAAAAAAAGAUCUAAUAAUGCGGAUCUAUGAAUACCAUUUUUUUUUUUUGAAAGCUGCCUUGCAGCAAGUUACUAACAUUUGAUUUUAUGACUGUUGGUCUAGUGUGAAUAGCAGUUAGUGUGAUUAACUGGGGAGCUGCCUUUAAAAGCCAGCCCAGGGAAUUGGGGCAGUCUCCUUUCCUGCUUCAUGCUCUCAUUCCUGGGGAGAGGUGAUAACUAGAUGUCAGAGAUGAAGGCAGGCUAAUGAGGAGUGUAUUUGAAGAGACCGUAGGGACGUCAGAGAUAUAGUUAUCUCUGGUAGCUGUCGAAGGGAAAUUUUAAAAUACCAUUUUUUCCUAAAAACAUUCUCAGCAACAGAUAUCGCCUACUUUCAGAGUGUCAGUUUGUCCCUGCAGCCUUGAGAAUUUCUGCCCUUUUUAGUGAGCGCUUCAGAUAGCUUAAUAGAAAAUGUGCCCACUGGGGAGGGUAAUGUCACCUGUCACAGGGGGAAACACAGUGCUUCUGGAUGGCAGUUACAUUUCUAGUCCCAGUAAGCCAUAAACUUGAUCUCUUGCUUGGGCUUGUGUGUCUGCACGCAUUAAAAAUUAAUAAGUAAAACCUGCAAAUGGCAUAAAAUGCAGCAGUCCGGUUGUGUCAUGGGUCACUGUGAAGCCACGCUUCCUUCUGCACGGGGUCUUCUCUUUCAGCACAGCUCAAGAUCUCUGUCCUGUUCAGAGCCCUUCUGGGAGGACACCUGUAAUUGCUGUGGGAUCGUUUUUUCUUGUCACCAACUAUCCUCAGCCACCUUAUCUGACAGCAGGGAAAUGCUCAAUGACAAGUGGAGCCGGCCGUCAGGUCGCAGUGAAUUGAACCUGGAGUGACUGAACUUCUGCCAGAGCUGGAAGUGAUUGUGGGCUGCUGGACUUCAUGCACAUACCCACUGAAGAGUUAGUUUACCCAGAGCAGAUUUGAUAAGUUCAUGAUAAAAUUCCUUGAUAAAUUGUUGAUAAACUCCAAUUAAAAAACUAUCUCUUAGCGAAAUCAAACUAUUUUCCCUGCACGAUAUUGAAGAAAGAAAGCAAGAGAGUAAUUGUUUUGUAAAACCUUAGUAACAGGUCAGAUGAUGUGCUCUUCUGGGGGCAUUUCUGAGGCCAACUAGAGCAAUGAAGCAUUCCAUCCUGGGACUUUAUUGCUUCAAUUUUAAGUGCAUUGUCUCAUAACUGGAAUUAACCGUGUAGUCCUAUCCUAUGGAAAAAUGGGGACUUGAACUGUGAGGAUUGCUCUACAGGCAGUUUAAUUGUUUAAAUGGAUUGGUUUCAUGUUUAUUUUGCUUUUAUGUUACUACCAAUGCCACAGUUCCUUUCUUGAUAUUAGCCAGUUGAUAAAGACAUAAAAAAAUGAUUAAAAAAAGAAAAGAAAAAAGAAAGAAAGCACAGAUCUUACUCGUUACUAUGUAGUUAAUAUGAGUAUUUCUGUUCAUGUAUAAUCUUGCUGAAUUUAGGCUGUCAUGUUGAAGGUGAUAUUUAGCAAAAUCCUGUAGCUAGAACUUGAUAAAAGCAGCUGUUAUAUUUAAAAUUAGCACAUAAAAUGUCAUUAAAGUAAUGAUACAGGUUCACAGAGUUGCAUUCUGAGUGCUAAUCAUACUGUCUUGUAGAUGAGUCAACUGCUGUGCCUUACUCCAUGUGUACUUCACGGGUUUGGACGAUUGGCUUAAAUUAAUUGUUUAGCAGACUGGAGGUGGUAGAAAUAGGAGUGCAGAAAUGGGUAAUGUAUCACAUCUGCCAAAAAGCUGACUGCUGAACCCAUCAGCUAAAUUAAAAUUUCUUUCUCUGUCCUUGAUCUUUGUCAGGUAUAAAGCAUUUCACUCAGUGGGAUGUCCUGAGGAUUUUCGGUGUACUGAUUUGAAUUGGUAGAGGAAGAAAAAAUUACGAUGGACUAGGGAUAUUAAAAGUCAUAUGGGAAGCCAGGAGACUACCAGGGUGGGGUGGUUUUUUUGGCAAACUAAAAUAGCAAUAAAAAGAAAUGAUGAUUGACUAAAUUUGUCUAG
rnacentral:lncRNA from 1 species